rnacentral:rRNA from 1 species
AUUGAACGCUGGCGGCAGGCUUAACACAUGCAAGUCGAGCGGGGGAAGGUAGCUUGCUACCGGACCUAGCGGCGGACGGGUGAGUAAUGCUUAGGAAUCUGCCUAUUAGUGGGGGACAACAUCUCGAAAGGGAUGCUAAUACCGCAUACGUCCUACGGGAGAAAGCAGGGGAUCUUCGGACCUUGCGCUAAUAGAUGAGCCUAAGUCGGAUUAGCUAGUUGGUGGGGUAAAGGCCUACCAAGGCGACGAUCUGUAGCGGGUCUGAGAGGAUGAUCCGCCACACUGGGACUGAGACACGGCCCGGACUCCUACGGGAGGCAGCAGUGGGGAAUAUUGGACAAUGGGGGGAACCCUGAUCCAGCCAUGCCGCGUGUGUGAAGAAGGCCCUAUGGUUGUAAAGCACUUUAAGCGAGGAGGAGGCUACUCUAGUUAAUACCUAGGGAUAGUGGACGUUACUCACAGAAUAAGCACCGGCUAACUCUGUGCCAGCAGCCGCCGUAA